rnacentral:lncRNA from 10 species
GGAGCGGAGUUAGGGUCGCCAGGCCGAGCCGAGGUGGGACGGACCGACGCAGAGAGGAAGGGAAGCCACCUGGCCUGAAGAUCCUGUCUCUAAGAUCCCAUUCUGAGGCUUCGAGGGUCUGGCUUGAGCAGCACAGACAGGGACGUGUCUAACCGGGAUGACCAUGAGGUCUCAUCGCAGUUUGCCACUAACCAGGACCCUAGGAGUGCUGUUUUAUUGUCUCCACCUGACAGAUAAGGAAAUGGCAGCUGACCCAGGUCAAGGAAGUUCCUGAGGUCCCAGGGCUAAUAAGUGGCCUGACUCCACCACCAGCCCCCAGGAGGAAGCCAACCCCAGCCCUAGAAAAACCCAAUUCCUGAGUGAGUGCUGUAA